GAUGAAGAACGUAGUGAAAUGCGAUAAGUAAUGCGAAUUGCAGAAUUCAGUGAAUCAUCGAAUCUUUGAACGCACAUUGCGCCCGCUAGUAUUCUGGCGGGCAUGCCUGUCUGAGCGUCAUUUCAACCCUCGCCCCCGGCUUUUGCUGGGAGCGGUGUUGGGGAUCGGCCGCCCGUCACUGGGAGGCCGGCCCCGAAAUAGAGUGGCGACCACGCCGUGUGCUCCUCUGCGUAGUAGUAAAUCACCUUGCAGGCGGACAGCGGUGCGGCCUGCCGUAAAACCCCCAACUCUUUCUGGUUGACCUCAGAUCAGGUAGGAAUACCCGCUGAACUUAAGCAUAUCAAUAAGCGGAGGA
rnacentral:misc_RNA from 1 species